UACGUAGGAUGCAAGCGUUGUCCGGAAUUAUUGGGCGUAAAGAGCGCGCAGGCGGUCUAUCAAGUCAGAUGUGAAAUAUCCAGGCUUAACCUGGAGGGGUCAUUUGAAACUGGUAGACUAGAGUACAGCAGAGGAUAGUGGAAUUCCCGGUGUAGUGGUGAAAUGCGUAGAUAUCGGGAGGAACACCAGUGGCGAAGGCGACUAUCUGGGACGGUACUGACGCUGAGACGCGAAAGCGUGGGGAGCGAACAGG
rnacentral:rRNA from 1 species